rnacentral:rRNA from 1 species
GAAUCAACGCUGGCGGCGUGCCUCAGACAUGCAAGUCGAACGCGAAAGGCUCCUUCGGGGCCGAGUAGAGUGGCGCACGGGUGAGUAACACGUAGGUAACUUUGCCUUUGGGUGGGGAAUAACUCAGGGAAACUUGAGCUAAUACCGCAUAAUGCAGCGGCUCGACAUCGAGACAGUUGUUAAAGCGGGGGAUCGCAAGACCUCGCGCCUGAAGAGAAGCCUGCGGCAGAUUAGCUAGUUGGCAGGUAAUGGCCUACCAAGGCGACGAUCUGUAACCGGCCUGAGAGGGCGGUCGGUCACAC